rnacentral:rRNA from 1 species
UGGGGAAUAUUGCACAAUGGGCGCAAGCCUGAUGCAGCCAUGCCGCGUGUAUGAAGAAGGCCUUCGGGUUGUAAAGUACUUUCAGCGAGGAGGAAGGCGUUGUGGCUAAUAACCGCAACGAUUGACGUUACUCGCAGAAGAAGCACCGGCUAACUCCGUGCCAGCAGCCGCGGUAAUACGGAGGGUGCAAGCGUUAAUCGGAAUUACUGGGCGUAAAGCGCACGCAGGCGGUCUGUCAAGUCGGAUGUGAAAUCCCCGGGCUCAACCUGGGAACUGCAUCCGAAACUGGCAGGCUAGAGUCUUGUAGAGGGGGGUAGAAUUCCAGGUGUAGCGGUGAAAUGCGUAGAGAUCUGGAGGAAUACCGGUGGCGAAGGCGGCCCCCUGGACAAAGACUGACGCUCAGGUGCGAAAGCGUGGGGAGCAAACA